rnacentral:rRNA from 1 species
CACGUAGGGGGCAAGCGUUGUCCGGAUUUAUUGGGCGUAAAGAGCUCGUAGGCGGCUCGGUAAGUCGGGUGUGAAACCUCCAGGCUCAACCUGGAGACGCCACCCGAUACUGCUGUGGCUAGAGUCCGGUAGGGGAGCGUGGAAUUCCUGGUGUAGCGGUGAAAUGCGCAGAUAUCAGGAGGAACACCAGCGGCGAAGGCGGCGCUCUGGGCCGGAACUGACGCUGAGGAGCGAAAGCGUGGGUAGCAAACAGG